CUUUAGCUGCCGGUCCAUAAUCCAAAGGCAGCAGGUGGGCAACCAGGCUCCUCCAAUGCAAUGUGGCGAGAUUGGUCUCGUCACAAAGAUAUUUGUUACAAUGAAGGUUAGGAGAAGGUUUGAAAGAGAUGGAUUGAAGACAGAAUCGCAGUGACAGGCAGUGAAUAUGAAGAUAAAAGGAGAGAGAGAUGCAGUGAAAUACUGGUGAGGAUAUGAGGAGAUGCAGUGAGGUUAAGGGAAGGUAUAAAAAGAUACAGUAAGGGGAUGCUAUGAGGAGAGGCAGUGACGGUGAGGGGAAGGUAUGAGGAGAGGCAGUGACGGUGAGGGGAAGGUAUGAGGAGAGGCAGUGACGGUGAGGGGAAGGUAUGAGGAGAGGCAGUGACGGUGAGGGGAAAGUAUGAGGAGAGGCAGUGACGGUGAGGGGAAGGUAUAAAGAGAGGCAGUGACGGUGAGGGGAAGGUAUGAGGAGAGGCAGGGAUGGUGAGGGGAAGGUAUGAGGAUAGGCAGUGACGGUGAGAGGAAGGUAUGAGGAGAGGCAGUGACGGUGAGGGGAAGGUAUGAGGAGAGGCAAUGAUGGUGAGAGGAAGGUAUGAGGAGAGGCAAUGAUGGUGAGAGGAAGUGAGAAGAACUUCACUUGCCAC